rnacentral:lncRNA from 1 species
CAGCCAAGGCAUGUGGAGGUUCCCAGGCUAGGGGCUGAAUCGGCGCUGUAACCACUGGCCUACACCACAGUCAUAGCAAUGCCAAAUCCGAGCUGUGUCUGCAACCUACACCACAGCACACGGCAACACCGGAUCCUUAACCCACUGAGCGAGGCCAGGGAUCAAACUUGCGUCCUCGCGGAUACUAGUCAGAUUCGUUUCCACUGAGCCACAAUGGGAACUCCAUAGCUGGUAUUUAUUUUAAAAUGCUUUUCAUUUUCUUUUUAGGGCUGCACCUGAGGCAUAGGGAAGUUCCCAGGCUAGGGGGGGAAUUGGAGCUGCAGCUGCCAGCCUAUACCAUAGGCACAGCAACAAUGGCCAUGAGCCACAUCUGCGACCUACAGCACAGCCUGCAGCAACACUAGAACCUUUAAGCCACUGAGUGAGGCCAGGAAGCAAACCCACAUCCUAAUCGAUACUAGUCAGAUUCUUAACCAACCCACUGAGCCACAAUGGGAACGCCUAAAAUACAUUUUUAGCUAAAAGACUCUGAACUAAGAAACAAGAAGACAACAUUAGCCAACUUGUAUUGCAUGGUCAGUAUUUUCUAGAAAAGUUACAAGGAAAAACACUCAUCAAUUUCUGCACAGAAACACAUCUAGAAGAAUCUGUUCUUGAACUGAAUCUCUUGACUUUCCCCUUAUUGCCCCGGAAGUCCAUCUGAACCUUCUUUCCAUCCUUUGCUUAUUUUGACCAGAUGGCUAUAGAUUCGGAAUGACCUGGAGUGGGCUGAGAGUCAGCCUGCGAGAGACCAAGAAGAGCCAGCCACAGGGGGUUAGGAGUGAAAAGUCCCGCCCCACAGAGGCAGGUGCCCCGCCCACACUGCAAACUUCACAUCUGGAAUUCCUGCCUCCAAAGGAUGCUCCAGACAAGAAAACAAACAUGGGACAAACAGAAGGCAAGACCGCAAAGAGACACAAACUAACAGCAGAGUGGAAGGAUGGGAGGCACUGGUGGGGAGAAACACCAUGAGAGAGGGUGUGGCCAAGGACAGUCCCAGGGAAAUCAGGGAUUGAAAUACUGCAAGGGAAGAUUUAUCAGCCUAGACAGGGAUAACUGAAACUCACACACAAGCACACAACCGCAACCAGAGAUUCUUCCUUCCUGCCUUGGUUUCCUGGGGAUUCAAACUAAGGGACUGGGAGACACCCGCAAACGUUUACCAAGGAUGUGGGUGCGUCCUUAUGGGUCUGGCUCAUUUUGUCGAGAAACUGCUAGCGCUCUGAGCCCAGCCUGCGCGGGGGGGAGCUCUGCCUGGGUGUACACCCCUCGGGCGGGGGAUCCAGGGGGAUGGCCUCGCCUCCAAAGAUAACACAGCAGCCCCAGACUGCCUGUGAUUCUCUCUCCAAAAUCUUCCUAAUGAGCUGUCUGGGGGAGGGGGUGGUUAUUCCCCCCAUAUUUUGGCCGCCGCUGGCUUUUUAGAAUUCCGUGUCCAUUUUCCGAUUUCCUAAACGCCAUCUGCAAUGACCUUUUCCUCUCUGCCAUCGUUGACAGCUUCUCAUGCGUGAAACAUAUUUUUGUUCAUUAUUUUGUUGUCCACAACCUCCCCCGCACAACCGUCCAGCCUGGGUCUCCCUCCCUGUACCCUUCACCCCCACGUCAGGCAUAUAAUGAAUUACCAUUCCUUCAGACAACGAGGUUGAAAACUUGUGGUCUCCAAGGCAACGGGGUAUCCUGGGGUAGGGUGCUGGGGAGGGGGGCUGGCCCGGCCAGGAAAGGACUGGAAGGAAAAGGGGGGUGGGGAGGCAGAACUAGAGAUGAUAUCAUUCCGGAAGCCUGAAAGCAACCAAUCGGCUGCCGGGGAUGUGAUGUCAUCCCCCCGCCCCCACCCCCUUUGAGCCUAGGUAGCCCCACUGAGAAUUCUAGACAAGUAUUGAACCGAAGUUGUAUUGCUGUGAGAGAAAAGGGGUGGGGGGUGGCAAUGGAGAGAGAGAGACAGCUCCUCCGACCCUCUGGAUGGCCCUGGCAGACACUACUCUUCACUCGAGGCAGCCCCAUAAAAAUGUCAUCAGCUGGGGCUCUCCCUGCAUCAGGACACAAUGAUGUCUUUGGGGAGAAGAAAAAAAAAAAGAUUUAUUUUGCAACCACACCCCCGCCUCCCUUGGAAGAGAAACACUAACCAACAACAAGUUGUGAAUGAAGUGUCUGCAGAUCGGGCCCCCACCAACCCAGGCUGGGAACUUUCUGGACAGAAAGACAAGAGGCAGAUGCUCGCACAGAACCAGCUGGGCAUACUAGGCUGCUCUUUGCAGCCACAGGGCUGGGGCAACACUUUAGGUGCUGCAGGGUGGGUGCCUGGGCUAGGGCAAAGCUGCCCAAGCAGGUAGUUCGGGCCCCCAAAGGCACUGGUUUGGGGAGAGGUGUCUGCCCCAAGAUGAUGCCAGCAUCUGGGCCUCGGUGCCAGGCUCGUAGGAGAAGCAGCAAGCUGUAGCGUUAGGGAGGGGUGCAGGCUUGUUAUAGUGCCCACCGAAGUGUCAGCAUCCAACAGAGGGGAGGGCCAGUGUGCCCCGCUCACCUCUGCGAGAUUUUUGUCUUGGAACUAGAAAGCAAGGCUGUUUCAUAAAAAUGUCCCCAGGACUCCAAGCCCCAGGAAGGUUUGUCCGCGGGGGUCAGGACUGCUCUCUCCCUGACCUUGAACACUGCAAAAGGUGCAGCUUCUGCAACACGGUCUUUCUGGAGUCUUUCUCCACUGUCCCAUGCAGAGCCACCUAUACUGCCUUUGAAGAAGCAGAAGCAAAGACCCCACGUCCAUUCCCCCUUCUACAGACAUUCUUUUUUUUUUUUUUUUUUUUUUUUUUUUGUCUUUCUGCCUUUUCUAGGGCCACUUCCUGUGGCAUAUGGAGGUUCCUAGGCUAGGGGUCUAAUUGGAGAUGUAGAAGCCGGCCUACACGAGAGCCACAGCAACAUGGGAUCUGAGCCGCGUCUGCGACCUACACCACAGCUCACAGCAAUCCCGGAUCCUUAACCCAUUGAGCAAAGCCAGGGAUCGAACCUGCAACCUCAUGGUUCCUAGUUGGAUUCGUUAACCACUGAGCCAUGACAGGAACUCCAGAUUCUUUUCUAUUAUAGUUGAUUACAAGAUAUUGCAUAGAGUUCCCUGUGCUAUACAGUCGGUCCUUGCUUACUAUUUUAUAUAGAGAAAUGUGUAUCUGUUAAUUCCAAACUCUCCUUUUAUCCCUCCCCUACACUUCCCCUUCGCUUACCAUACAUUUGUUUUCUAUGUCUGGGAGUCUGUUCAGUUUUUCGGUAAGUCCAUUUGUACUGUUUUUUGUUUUUUGUUUUUUAAGAUUUCACAUCUAAGUGAUAUCGCAUGUAUUUGUCCUUCUCUGUCUGACUCUCCUCACUUAGUGUGACAGUCUCUAGGCCCAUCCGUGUUCACAUUCAUCCUUGAAUAUGAGCUGGAGCAGUCCAGGAAGGCUUCUUGGAGGAGGUGGGCUUAAGCUAGGCUCUGAAGGCGAGGCUAGAGUCAGACAAACAGAAAGAAAAAAGAAAGACACUGCUAACAGCAAGACUGCCCAAGCCAAAGCCAGACACUAGGAAUGAAGCUGGUACCAGGCAGUUGGGUGGGGGUGGGGGAGGGCGGGCGAAAGUUGCAGGACUAAAGUUGCAGGAUUUGGUGAUUUUACCAACCAGAUGCCGAUCUUCUCACCGUGUCGAGCAAAAUCAAUCCAGCAUGCCAGAAUGACAGGUGGGUCUUCAGCCAUCCAGGCCUCCUCUGCUGUGCUUUUUUUUAAAAAACAUUUCCGUUUGGGAAAUUUUCUUUUUUUUUAAACUUACACAGCGUUGCAAAAAACUCACUCUUUCCCAGAGUUGCCUAU